rnacentral:misc_RNA from 1 species
GGACAUCAAUGGCCUUGUAUCGAAGGAGUUUAUUUACAGGAAAAAAAAUGAAAAAAUUUAAAGGAAGCAUGGUAUCCAUAAAGUAUUGUCUACUAAAACAUUGCAACUGAUAAAAGUAGUAUCCACUUUCUUCAUCCAUCUGUUUUAGGCAUUUCUUAUUAUUUGCCUCUCCCACUUCUCCAUCUCAGUUAGUAAUAGCGUGGUAAGAGUUACUAACUACAAAAUGAAAUCCAGGAGUUUAGAAUGGACCCCAAUGAGCUCUAGGAGUUCUGUUGUUUUUAAUGGGCUGUGUAUGAAUUCCAUACAACUAAAAUGGAUUCACUUGUUUAAUAAUAAUCAGCUUUAUAAGAAAGUACAGAUAUAUUUAUUUAAUUUU